GGUGGUUUGUCGCGUUGUUCGUGAAAACCGGAGGCUCAACCUCUGGCGUGCGGGCGAUACGGGCAGACUUGAGUACUGCAGGGGAGACUGGAAUUCCUGGUGUAGCGGUGGAAUGCGCAGAUAUCAGGAGGAACACCGGUGGCGAAGGCGGGUCUCUGGGCAGUAACUGACGCUGAGGAGCGAAAGCGUGGGGAGCGAACAGGAUUAGAUACCCUGGUAGUCCACGCCGUAAACGGUGGGUACUAGGUGUGGGUUUCCUUCCUUGGGAUCCGUGCCGUAGCUAACGCAUUAAGUACCCCGCCUGGGGAGUACGGCCGCAAGGCUAAAACUCAAAGAAAUUGACGGGGGCCCGCACAAGCGGCGGAGCAUGUGGAUUAAUUCGAUGCAACGCGAAGAACCUUACCUGGGUUUGACAUGCACAGGACGCCGGCAGAGAUGUCGGUUCCCUUGUGGCCUGUGUGCAGGUUGUG
rnacentral:rRNA from 1 species